AUACGUAGGGGGCGAGCGUUGUCCGGAAUGAUUGGGCGUAAAGGGCGCGUAGGCGGCCCGGUAAGUCUGGAGUGAAAGUCCUGCUUUUAAGGUGGGAAUUGCUUUGGAUACUGCUGGGCUUGAGUGCAGGAGAGGUUAUCGGAAUUCCCGGUGUAGCGGUGAAAUGCGUAGAGAUCGGGAGGAACACCAGUGGCGAAGGCGGGUAACUGGACUGCAACUGACGCUGAGGCGCGAAAGUGUGGGGAGCAAACAGGAUUAGAUACCCUGGUAGUCCACACUGUAAACGAUGAAUGCUAGGUGUAAGAGGUAUCGACCCCUUUUGUGCCGGAGUUAACACAAUAAGCAUUCCGCCUGGGGAGUACGGCCGCAAGGUUGAAACUCAAAUGAAUUGACGGGG
rnacentral:rRNA from 1 species